rnacentral:lncRNA from 1 species
AAUAGUAAAGAAUGUUGAUUUAUGGUUCAUAAGUCUGAACUAUCGGACAAUUGUUUUAUCGAAAAAAGUAUUUUUAUAUAAGUUUUCAUUUUUUUUAAAGUCGCUACUUAAUUUAUAAGAAAAAAAUCAAGAAAACUCAAGUUUUCAAAAGUCUUAACAGAAAAAUCAUUUGAAAACAUUCAGUGACGUUCGAGAAUUCACAUUUAUAUUUUAGGAAGGUGUUAUCCGUUAAUACGGUUUUCCACCAACUAACUUAUUUGAAAAAAAAAAUUCUAACUUAAAUUAUGAGAUGAAAAUUAUUUGAAAUUGUUUGAUAAGGAAAUGUUAAUUUACUAUCUUAGUGAAAAUGGCUCGUAAUGUUUUAUUAUUUUUGAGUUCAAUUGAAAUCGAUUGAUUUAGUUUGAACAGUUAAAUAUGACAACAUCUUGAGGGGAUUGAAGUUUUCGACUCUAAAACUAACAAAAAUAACCACAAGCAAAUAGUGAUAAAGAGAGAGAGAGUCGGUCUAAAUUCGGAUUCCGUCCGCCUGGACCUGUAUUUGAACCCAUUUUGUUUUUGGAUCUUAGACCCAAUUGGUUUGUACCUGUACUAAGCUAAUCAACAUAAUAAUUAUUUCUUUGAGACUAAGACCCAAAAUUUUCACUUGUCCUAGAUCUAGCAAAAUAAUAAUAAGGGAAGUUUACAAGAUUUAGGCAUAUAAAUAACAAAAUACAAAUUCUUAAGAAAUAUGCAUUUGAGCAUUUUAGCCCAAUCUCUUCGACUCUCUUCAAUUCGCUUCGAAUCCUUCAACUUCGAAACCUGUACGUCAAUUUCGAGACUCGACUCGAGGAACAUGAGGUUCUGGGGCCUUCAUGGCCCUUUGGAAAUGCGGAGGUAGAGUCCAUGGGGACUCAAAAGGAAUCAACAUGCAAACAAAGUAAACAAAAUGAGUUGAUACAUAAAUCAACUCAAGAUAACAAUAGAAAAAUACAAUGUAUUUUUUAGCUUUCUUUGCUUAAGAUGUUCUAUGUAUUUCGCUCAAAAUAAACUUCCUCCAAAAUCUCCAACCCAAAAUUUCCAGCAAACCUUUUUUCUCCCAAAUCUUUUUUCUUUUUUUUCUACUGCUUUUCCGCCUAAAAAAAAAUAAAUUCAACUAAAGCUUUCAACAAAAAUUUUCAACUCCAGAACUUUUGCCUUUUUCCUCAAAAAAAAAAAUCCCUUAAAAAAGAAGAAGAGGGGCUUAAAUAGAGGAAAUUCGGGUUCGGUUUUAGGGGAAAUCGGCUUACAGUUUUGGAGAUACCAAACUCGAAAUUCAAAAUCCCUUUUUUAAGGAUAAGGUUGAGAAGUUGCAAUUUGUACUACUUACCACGGAUGGAUGAAGAGAGUUGUUCGAGUUCUCAAGAAGGACGAUCGAUCAUCGAGAUUUUGACAUCUGGCCGUGUCCUGUGCUGUUCUCGUACGAUAAGAGAGAUGAGAGGGACGCGUGAGCUGGACUCAGGUCGCGAUUUUGGUUCGCUGGGCUGGGCGAAUUCCUGGGUUUCCCGUUUCUUCGCUGGACUGCUCGAGGAAGAAGAGGAAGAAUGCUUGGGGUCGGUUUACUGGGACUAAUAUUGUUUUGUUGGAUGAGUUUUCGUAUUGGGAAUGGUCUUGGUUUAAUGAAAUUGUAAUUAAGAAAUGGAAAAUUGUAUAUAAUAGCAAAUUAAUAAUUUAAAAUGAAUGGAAUAACUACGGUUUGAUUUAAUUGUAUUUAAUUUUUUUCUUUUUCGUUUUAUACAAUUCGAUUCAAUUGUAUAAUCCUUGUCAAGUCUCUUUUGUCUUUCUCUCUUUCUCAUUUUAUACAAAUUCAAAUCGUAUAUAAUCG